GCUGCACAUUGUUAGAGCUUGGAGUUGAGGCCACUGGCUGGCCAGUGGCUCGCAAGUGUAGGUAGUGUGCUACACGAGAGGCAAGCUUUUCGCUAACACCAUGAGGGCCUCUGGCCCAAUGAGUGGAGUUGGGUAGUAAGCCUUGCUACAAGG